rnacentral:rRNA from 1 species
UACGUAGGGUGCAAGCGUUAAUCGGAAUACUGGGCGUAAAGCGUGCGCAGGCGGUGAUGUAAGACAGUUGUGAAAUCCCGGGCUCAACCUGGGAACUGCAUCUGUGACUGCAUCGCUGGAGUGCGGCAGAGGGGGAUGGAAUUCCGCGUGUAGCAGUGAAAUGCGUAGAUAUGCGGAGGAACACCGAUGCGAAGGCAAUCCCCUGGGCCUGCACUGACGCUGAGGAGCGAAAGCAUGGGGAGCGAACAGG